AUAGCGAAGCCGCGCGCUCGCUCGGCGGCCGCGGGCACCGCCGCUCCCCUGCUGCACCGACGCCGCGGCCUCAACGCGGAUUUUCUCUUGAUUCGGCGCCUCUUGGCCGGGGUCUCUUACCGUUCUAUGGAAGGUAAAUAACUAGGAGUGGAAUUGCUGAGUCGUAUGAAUGGUUUGGGGAUUUCCAUUCUUUGUUUCUGUCUACUCUCUGAUCACUAACUUCUCUAAUGCCAUUCUAGUAUGUAUAAAGCUUCUGGAAGAAAGAAACAUGAGAAUAUCUUUGUGACCUAGAGAUGGGCUUGUGGUGGUUUAUAACAAGCACAGACAAUAAACUAAUGGGGAAUGAGAAAUAGAGAGUCACAACUAGAGGAGGAGUCAAUAAGAACAGGAAGAAACUGCAACUACUGAGCUCGCGCUCUCUGGAGCCCACGUGCCACAACUAGAGAGAAGCCCCCAUGCCACAACUAAGACCAGACACAGCCAAAAAUAAAUA